CUACAGAACACUUCAAACCCUAAGGGAAACUGGAAGGAGACUGGAUGCUGAAAUGAUAAUGUGGAAAUCACCCUGACUGAACAGGAACAUCUGUGUUGGAUUUCGUUGUGGAAUGGACUUCAGUUUGUCACAGUGCUAGACAAAUGCUUUGAAGAAGAGGAAGUUAUAGCAAAUAUCUGGAAAGGAAGAAAAAGGAGAAAACACCUCCAAAGGAUGAAGAAAUUGUAAGGGAAUGAUUGGAUUCUAAAAGU